CAUAGAUACCAGUUGUAUAGUUUCUACCUAUCUAUUUGUUGAAUGCAUAUUGCAUGCAAGUGUAAUGAUAGCACAUUAUGUUUUAUAUUUUCAGAGUUGCCAGGUUUGCUCCAGGAGGUGAAAAACCUAGAGAGGGAGAGAAUGAGACAAACAACUUCAAAGGACAUCAUGGCUAGUGGAUCCCCACCCAUCUCCAAAACUCACAAUGACAUCAUGGCUGGUAGAUCCACACCCUUCCUCCAACCCCCAAAAGCAGCACUCCAAGACACUGCCGUCACAACCCUACCAGUCAGCAUGGCAGGGGGACUUCAAACCUUGAGCUGUAAAGCAGGGAUGCAAACUAGUCACAAUUUGAAUACAAAAGCAGGUGUAUUAACAUUGUAACAAUACAGCAAGCAGAAAAAUACUGUAUGCAUGUGCAGUUUUGCUUAAUUUAAUGUAAAUGUUUAAUGCAUAUUGUAGUACAAUGAUAAUUUGUUUUAUAAGUGUUUUAAUUUAUAGAGUGCCAUGUACAGUGCCUUGCGAAAGUAUUCGGCCCCCUUGAAC